GGCGGCGCGUUCCACGCACCACGCCUCCCCUGGCCUGGGGGCAGCCCUGGGCCCGUCUCACAGGCACUACUGUAAGAGCUUGGAGAACUUUCAUUAAAGUUUACACACUGUUCCAUUCUACGGGUGGUCAAGGAUAAACACAGCUGACAUCAGCUAAAACGGUGAAAACAGAGAACAAGGCCCCUGUGACCAUCUCAGGCUGACAGCCAUCCUUCUCUUCUGCAAGCGUCACUGGUGGCUAAGUGCCUGGAAGCCGACUUGCAGCGU